rnacentral:rRNA from 1 species
CAGUAGCGUAUAUUAAAGUUGUUGCAGUUAAAAAGCUCGUAGUUGGACUUGCACUCCUUUUGGAGCAGCCUAGCAACUCCGCAUGUCCUUAAUUGGAUGGCGGAGACCUGCGGGCCCUUUACCUUGAGAAAAUUAGAGUGUUUAAGGCAGGCCACGCCUGAAUACUACAGCUGGGAAUAAUGCAUCACGACUGUCUUGGCGAGGCAGCUCUACACUUUUAAUAGGAACGGUUGGGGGCAUUCGUACUCAGCAGUCAGAGGUGAAAUUCUUGGAUUUGCUGAAGACGGACUAGUGCGAAAGCAUUUGCCAAGGAUGUUUUCAUUAA